CACAUGAAAAUUUGGCAAAUCUGACUGGUCACCGUCUGCCUGCCCAAAAGCCCUACAGACACACCAACUGGUGGGUCUAAGCUGGACUUCGGCUCCAUCUGUUCCAGCAGGAGGUCAAGGGAGUGAAAAGAGGUUGGUCCAGCUGCCCUGGGGAAAGAUGGGAGGCUGGAAGCCUGUACCCAAAUCUCAGGACAGCACCUGGAGCAGCCAUAGUGGACUCAGCUGGGUGGCACAUAACAAACCCAGGGGACCAGAACUGCAAUGUGCUGCUGGAACUGAUGGAGCUCUCCUUUAGUGUGUCCAUGGGGGCCAGUGCGCAGCUGUUCCAGGGUCAGGAUGCAGGACAAAAUGGACUGAAAGUGCUGUCAAGAGUGCCUCGAUGUUCUUUGCAAGCCUGGAUUCAUUAACUGGCCCAAGCCUGCCCACGAGAGACAGCACAACCCAGUCCUGACAUUUAUGUAUCUAAAUUCUCAAGGCUAGUCUAGCCCUGCCUAUGUGAUGCUUAGUAGUGAAUUAACAGGUUUAGUGUUACAUCACCCUUUGAAAC